rnacentral:rRNA from 1 species
CUCGGCGAUACUGUCCACCGGACACUAUCGUGCCUUUCGUUCCAGGGCCGAUGAUACUUGGGGCAUAGCCCCUGGGAAAGUAGGUUAUUGCCAGGU